CAAUAGCGUAUAUUAAAGUUGUUGCAGUUAAAAAGCUCGUAGUUGGAUUUGUGGCUGUCACGGGCGGCCUAUCACUUAGUGUUAGUGCUUGCCUGUGUCGCCCUCCUUGGGUGGAGCCCGUGUGGCAUUAGGUUGUCGUGCGGGGGAUGCCCAUCGUUUACUGUGAGAAAAUUAGAGUGUUCAAAGCAGGCUUAUGCCAUUGAAUAUGUUAGCAUGGAAUAAUAAGAUAGGACCUCGGUACUAUUUUGUUGGUUUGCGCACCGAGGUAAUGAUUAAUAGGGACAGUUGGGGGUAUUCGUAUUUCAUUGUCAGAGGUGAAAUUCUUGGAUUUCUGAAAGACGAACUACUGCGAAAGCAUUUACCAAGGAUGUUUUCAUUAA
rnacentral:rRNA from 1 species